rnacentral:lncRNA from 1 species
GGCAUCAGGAUAUUAUGUCAGUUGAAGAAUGGUUUAAAACACUGAGAAAUUGACCUUGGAGAAGAAAAAAACAUUAGAGGAUGUGAUAAAAUCUUUCGUGGAAGACCAGUUAGAUUUAUUCUUUGUGUCUUUAGAAGGCUUCACAACAGAUGGAAGUUACAGAAGAAGACCAAUUUGGGAUUGAUAGCAGGAAAACCUCUUUCUAAAUACAGGCAUCUGCACAUAAAAAGAUAGCCCACCCUACAGCUGCUCUUUGCUGGGUGUCAUUCCUGUCACUGUGAGGACACUGGCAAACCAAAGAGAUUGGUCCUUGUCUUUGGGACUCCUAGAGUUGAGGACAGAUAAUGCAUAGGAAGAAUCAGGUUUCUUACUUCCUGGUCACAAAAUGGCUGCCGAAGUCCAUAAGCUAAAUCCUAAUGUGAGUGAACAUGAUCAAGGAUUCAUGACUACAACCCCAAAAUACGGCACUUCUGCCUGUGUGGAAACAACAGAAGCAGGAAGAUUACUCUCAUUUUUCUCUGGCCUUUUUCCCUUGAAGCAGACUAUAAAGAAGAAUCUGACCUUCCUCUGAAGGAAACCUUCAUUCCAGACAUACCCUCCCUAUAUCCAAAGAACAUCUUUAUCUUUAAAGACACAGAGAUGUCAAGAAGAAUCUGAACAAACAGGCUUUGCCAGAUCCCCCAGUUUACUAAUAUUGAACCAUACUCUUUUGUUCUUCAAUCAUACUUCUGCAUGAUGUCCAUAAAAAUACACAGUUUUCCCCAUUCCUUUUGGGUAUUUAUUCCCGAAAGCUUCUGUGUCA